CCCCUCUCAGGGUCACACCUGGAGAAUUCCCAGUACUCUACCAGUCUUGACUACAACAGGGAGAAUCAGGCAGAGGCAUAUCCAUUCCAUUUCUAGCUUGGCCAGGGACUAGCAAGUGGAAGGCAAUCUGCUACAAGU
rnacentral:snoRNA from 2 species